rnacentral:rRNA from 1 species
UACGAAGGGUGCGAGCGUUGUUCGGAAUUACUGGGCGUAAAGGGUUUGUAGGCUGAAAUGUAAGUCAAGUGUGAAAUCCCCGAGCUAAACUUGGGACGUGCAUUUGAAACUGUGUUUCUUGAGUAUCGUAGAGGGUGGUGGAAUUGCAGGUGUAGGAGUGACAUCCGUAGAGAUCUGCAGGAACAUCGGAGGCGAAGGCGACCACCUGGCCGAUUACUGACGCUGAGGAACGAAAGCGUGGGGGAGCAAACAGG